rnacentral:lncRNA from 1 species
AUGCGCUGCGCGCCAGGGCUCCCGCCCUCCGCCUCCCACCGCCCCAGCCCCAGCAGGACUGACCUGCCUCUCGCUCGGGAGGAAAGGGGGCGCCUGGCGAGUGGCAGCAGGGACCCGUGGUCUCGGGGGGUGCAGGGCUCCCCCUCUUCUCAUCACUCCUCCUCCGCAAUCCUCCUCGGCCCCGGCGCGCCCCCCGCACCCCCGGCCAAGGCGAGCGUCCAGCCGCGGCGCCCCGCUCGCUACAUCUCGCCCCUGCGGUACAGCGAGGCCGCCGCUCCGCCCGCGAGGGUAGGUGGCCGCGGAGGCAGGAUAUACGGCCUCGGCCGGGCGGGGGGACCCGGGCGGGGGCCGCGGGGCCGCCCUCGCUCGCCCCAAUCGCUUCUUGCCCGCGGACUCGGGCCCGGCUGGUUGGCUGCUGGUGGCAAACGUGAUCUGGGGCAGGCUGGGUGGCAGCCCCCCCGCAUCCAAAAUAGGUCCGGGACGGGCAGGCGCAGCAGCCAAUCCGCGGCCGGGGAGGGGGCGGGCUCAGCCUCGGCCCCGCCUCUUUCCCUCGCUCGGGGCCGGGGGGCGGGGCGCGGGGGCCGCGGCGAGCGCGGGGCGACGGGAGCUGCGGGCGGGGGCGGGGGCUCGCGGGGCCCUCCCGGGCGGCCGCCGCCCCGGGUUCCCGCCGCCGGGCGCUCGCGGGGGGCCGCCUGCUCCGCGCCCCGAGCCCCCCCUUGCCCUUUGCAGGCGAGCGCGCCUGGGCGCGUCUCCUCGCGCGUCUUGAGCGUUUCCUCCAGCCUGGCCCUCGGGAAGACCCGGGCGCGGGGCUCGGGGGCUCGAGCAUCCGUCCCCGCCCCCGCCCCCGCCCCCGCCCCCGCUCGGCGCCCGGACACGGCGUGCCCACCUCGCUCUUGGACACAGCCCGCUCCUGUGGGCUCGGCCCCUCGCGCUGCCUCCGGACCCCGCGCUCCUGCAAGCCAAUGGCCCAGCCCUGACGCCACCGGCCUUAAUAACGUCCCAGUUUUGGAAGGGGUGGGGAUGGGCGGGCGGGAGGGAAACGAGGUCAGACGCGCGCCUAGGGUCCCGCAGGCACCCCCUGAGGGAGGGGCGGGGGGGAACCCGGCUUCCUCUGCCCCACUGGUCCCGGGGGCAGCACAGGGGAGACAGGUCCCCAUCGCGGGCUAA